rnacentral:sRNA from 1 species
GCUGACUGCGUUUAACACGCAUGCUGGAGUUUGAGAACCAUUGUUUUACUAGAUAUAUAUAUUUUCUACCAGCUGUUCUUCAGCUUGCAUCUCCUUGGAGAGUUAGUAUAAUACUUGGGAUUUUGAACUAUCUGUGUACAGUACUUGGCCUUGAAAUUUGAUAGAAGAUUGAAAAAUAUUAUUUGAACCUUCUUUAAAUAUUAGAUUUGUUUGCCAUUCAAAGAGAUGAGAAACGAGCUUCCAUGCUUUAUUGGCAUUUCAGAAAUUUCUGCUCAUGGGAGAAGGAAUUUUACAAAACACCAUCCUAGAAUUGAUCAUUACACUUAUAACCAAAAAUGAAAAAAUGAUUUUUAUUUAUUUCUAUUUUCCUGUAGCUACAAGAGCCAAAUACUGAUCGACAACUUAUUGAAACUUCUCCGGUUCUACAAAAACUUACUGAGUUUGAAGAAGCAAUUGGAGUAAUUUUUACUCAUGUUCGACUUCUGGCAAGGGCAUUCACAUUGAGAACUGUGGGAUUUAACCAUCUGACCCUAGGCCACAAUCAGAGAAUGGAAUUCCUAGGUGACUCCAUAAUGCAACUGGUAGCCACAGAGUACUUAUUCAUUCAUUUCCCAGAUCAUCAUGAAGGACAUUUAACUUUGUUGCGAAGCUCUUUGGUGAAUAAUAGAACUCAGGCCAAGGUAGCGGAGGAGCUGGGCAUGCAGGAGUAUGCCAUAACCAACGACAAGACCAAGAGGCCCGUGGCGCUUCGCACCAAGACCUUGGCGGACCUUUUGGAAUCAUUUAUUGCAGCGCUGUACAUUGAUAAGGAUUUGGAAUAUGUUCAUACUUUCAUGAAUGUCUGCUUCUUUCCACGAUUGAAAGAGUUCAUUUUGAAUCAGGAUUGGAAUGACCCCAAAUCCCAGCUUCAGCAGUGUUGCUUGACACUUAGGACAGAAGGAAAAGAGCCAGACAUUCCUCUGUACAAGACUCUGCAGACAGUGGGCCCAUCCCAUGCCCGAACCUACACUGUGGCUGUUUAUUUCAAGGGAGAAAGAAUAGGCUGUGGGAAAGGACCAAGUAUUCAGCAGGCAGAAAUGGGAGCAGCAAUGGAUGCGCUUGAAAAAUAUAAUUUUCCCCAGAUGGCCCAUCAGAAGCGGUUCAUCGAACGGAAGUACAGACAAGAGUUAAAAGAAAUGAGGUGGGAAAGAGAGCAUCAAGAGAGAGAGCCAGAUGAGACUGAAGACAUCAAGAAAUAAAGGAAGGCAUGCAAGUGUGG